rnacentral:lncRNA from 1 species
AACAACAUCCUGCAGGGCAGGGUUAUGUAGUGCACAGAACCUGUCUCUUAGAUGUAAAUGACAACUCCCUCUUCUUUAAAGGCUCUGCAUUCUGGGAGGAAAAUUGUCUCAGGAACUGUGACUCAAGAGCAGAAGGACAUGUCUUUAGGGUGAUGCUUCCGUUUCUGCAGUAGUUCAGACCGAAAAGAAAAGGAAAAACCUGAGCUACAAGACAUUAACUUCUGGAUAUACUUCAUUGGUUGGAGCUGUUUGGCCUGUGGGAUUCCAUCCUCACUGUAUGUCACACAUCUCCCCAUAAUUUUUAAGGUAAGUCCUGAUAACGUCUGUUCUUUCACUGAG